UGAUCAGCGGCUGCCCAGCAGCGUGGAGGCAAAGUCAUCUCGGCGUGUACACAAACGCGGCAGCAUGUCCCGGCGCAGCCUUCGGGGUGAACGAAGCAUCAAACAAAUGGGUCACACACUCCAACUGCACAAGAAGCACCUGAUUAGCUGUUGGUGGAAUAUCCUGCACUCUUGACAAAGCUAGAAACAAAGUGCAGUGAUGCAACUACAGCUAUAGAGGAAAGGAGCCUGGAAAAGAAGAGGAGCCUCUGACACUAGAGGAAACUCAGCACUUGCUAGAGGUAUCUAUCAGAGGAUGGCAACAUCUGAAGCUGUCUAUUUGUGCAGAACAUUCAUCAAAAUAGGGGAAGACUUGGAAGAUUCGCUUACCCCCAAACGAGAAAGAACAUUCAUGAUAAUCCACCGCCAUACAUUUGUUCCUCCUUCAUGCUGAUGCUACCCCAAGUAAACUAGAAGAAAACUUGAUGUGCACUUCUGGUGCAGCACCACAGUUCUGGCACGCAGCAUAUAGCAGCCUGUUCCAGAUUUGUACUUGAUUUCCCCCCCUGAAACAUUCUGGACCAGCUCAAGGGAUCUUGAGACAAUUCUCACAGAUGGUGAUCUGAACAAACAUGUGAUACAUUUCAUCAUGAUGCCAGAGUCCCAAGCAGAGAAUGGUGUGUGUAAAUACAUAGAUAUAUUCAUGUUUUAAUAUCACCAGCCCACAUAACCCUGGCAGGAGGUGCUUCUGAGUCAAAAGAAGUUUUAAGGUAUCUUGAUAAAGCAAUUUCAGGGUAAAUUAGUAGAAUCUUCAAAAGCAACAGCUUAAAACUAUGUUGUCAAACACACCUAACUAGUAUUUGGGUCAUCAAGGUAUACACUCAAGUUUUAAAGAGUUGCAUGUUAGAACAGCCAAGGGAGACUUCUCUGCAAAAGUAUUUCAGAAGGUUAUCCCUUUAGAGAUAAUUCAUUAUAAGCAUAUAUUAAAUUUAAUUCAGUGGGCUCUAGUUCAUGAAAGCUUAUGCCAUAGUACAAUUUGUUCAUCUUCUAAGGUGCCACAAUAAUGUUUUAAAAUUGUAUACUGUAAUCCCAACUUCCCACAAUGGUAAGUAAAAUGAAAACAUUUCUGUAUACUUACUUUGCA